rnacentral:rRNA from 1 species
ACAAAGUGAAACUGCGAAUGGCUCAUUAUAUAAGUUAUCGUUUAUUUGAUAUUGCCUAUCCUACAUGGAUAACAGUGGUAAUUCUAGAGCUAAUACAUGCUGAAAAUCCCGACUUCGGAAGGGACGUAUUUAUUAGAAUCAGAACCAAUGCCCUUCGGGGUUUUCUGGUGACUCAUGAUAACUCCACAGAUCGCAUGGCCUUGCGCCGGCGAUGGCUCAUUCAAAUUUCUUCCCUAUCAACUUUCGACGGUACGGUCUUGGCCUACCGUGGUUGUAACGGGUGACGGAGGGUUAGGGCUCGACCCCGGAGAAGGAGCCUGAGAAACGGCUACUACAUCCAAGGAAGGCAGCAGGCGCGCAAAUUAUCCAAUCCCGACUCGGGGAGAUAGUGACAAUAAAUACCGAUACAGGGCUCUUUUGGGCCCUGUAAUUGGAAUGAGUACAAUUUAAACCUCUUAACGAGGAACAAUUGGAGGGCAAGUCUGGUGCCAGCAGCCGCGGUAAUUCCAGCUCCAAUAGCGUAUAUUAAAGUUGUUGUGGUUAAAAAGCUCGUAGUCGAACCUCGAGCCUGGCCGGCCGGUCCGCCUCACCGCGUGCACUGGUCUGGCCGGGCUCUUCCCUCUGCGGAACCGCAUGUCCUUCACUGGGCGUGUCGGGGAGGCAGGACUUUUACUUUGAAAAAAUUAGAGUGCUCAAGGCAGGCCAAUGCUCGAAUACAUUAGCAUGGAAUAAUAGAAUAGGACGUUGGUUCUAUUUUGUUGGUUUCUAGGACCGCCGUAAUGAUCAAUAGGGACGGUCGGGGGCAUCAGUAUUCAGCCGUCAGAGGUGAAAUUCUUGGACCGGCUGAAGACUA